AACGAACGCUGGCGGCAUGCCUAACACAUGCAAGUCGAACGAGAUCUUCGGGUCUAGUGGCGCACGGGUGCGUAACGCGUGGGAAUCUACCCAUUGGUUCGGAAUAACAGUUGGAAACGACUGAUAAUACCGGAUGAUGACGAAAGUCCAAAGAUUUAUCGCCAGAGGAUGAGCCCGCGUAGGAUUAGCUAGUUGGUGUGGUAAAGGGGAACCAAGGCGACGAUCCUUAGCUGGUCUGAGAGGAUGAUCAGCCACACUGUGACUGAGACACGGUGCAGAAUACUACGGGAGGCAGGAGUGGGGAAUAUUGGACAAGGGGCGAAAGCCAGAUCCAGCAAUGCUGCUUGAGUGAUUAAGGCCUUAGAGUUGUAAAGCUCUUUAACCCGGGAUGAUAAUGACAGUACCGGGAGAAUAAGCCCCGGCUAACUCCGUGCCAGCCGCCGCCGUAA
rnacentral:rRNA from 1 species